GGCGCAGUGGCAGAGUGGUCUAAUGCGAUAGACUAGAACAUCCCUUCCUGAAGAGGUCUCUAGCGUAUCUAUUCCCUUCGGGGGCGUCUGUUCGAAUCAGGCCUGCGUCG
rnacentral:tRNA from 1 species